UUUGAAGACUGUUCAAAGUGAAUACAAGGCUUGUUUAAACGAGUUAUAAAGUAACUUUUCAGUUGAAUUUUGACAUGUUCACAAUAUUAUUUUACGCACUUCACAGCACUACGUGUCCGACAACGGGCGUCCUUCCUGUUUGUGCGACUGGGGGUGCGCACUGCGCAGUGCGCCGCGCUGGUGUGACCGUUAGUGUCGGCUUAUUACCGGCGAUUUCUUCGAUUUGCUGCUUUUUUAAGGAGCGUUUCUGAAAAAGUGUCUGCCUUGGUGAAGCAAGGAGCUGUUUCACUUCGCAUGGAGAACACCAAGGGCAGAGGUGGACCGCUGAGUCUCCAUACCAUGCCUCUCUAGUGCCAGAUAUCGGAAAAGCGGCCCGAACCAGCCCGUAAGACGUGGGCGAUGGAAGAUGCGACUGACAGGCCUAAUGAACUUCAGAGAGCUUAGAGGUAGGCCAGCUGUGCACUGUACCUAGAGAGUGGUUGGUUUGUUGUGUUACGCAGUUUAUUAGCGAAGUUACUGUAUGCAGCUAGCGAUGAGCAAUAAAUAUACGAGUCGUUUGAA